CCAUCAUCCAACAACAGCUGCGAGUUGGACAGGUCGGGGGAGAAAGAUUUCCCGUGAGCAUUAUGACAAACGUAUUUGUUGCCACUACAAACAUUUUUUUUUUUAUUCCGUCUUGCAUGGAAAAAGGAAACUGGGAGACGCAACUUUCCCGAUCCCUGUGGACCAAUAUAUCAGUAUUGUGUGUUCACAACACAUUGGUUUUGAGUCAAAUAAUAUAACAAGGUAAAUGUAUUUUCACAUUUGAUUUGAUGAUAACUUCAAUCAACAGGAUCAAUAGGGACAAAUAAGCAUUAUAAACACUGGCUAAAGCCCCAACCACAACAAAAGCCAGCCAGGCUCGAGCUGAUUCAUUCAUUCUGAAUGAGGGGCCAACCCAACAUCCAAGGACAACGUACCUCAGAGAUCCUAGGUCCUCAUUCCUGACGGGGACACCGGCGGCGGAAGCAGAGGGGGGACAGCGCAUGCUGUUGGCGUAUAAGCUCUGCACCAGGGCUAGCUCCGAUGAGUGUUCCAACAUCGCACACGAUUUAGUGCAGUAGAGCGGCACACACCCCUUUUGCUGACUGACGUAGCUGAAGUAAUCCUUUUUGACAGCUCAUCAUGGGCUAAUGCAUUGUGCAGCCCGUGGCAGCCCGGUUUCGCAGGCUGCAAAGCUGCGGCCACAGUAGUACUCUUCCUCUAAUUGACACCCAUAUUAGGAAGAGUCCAGGAAAUUGGACAAGGGUGAUUUAUUCCUACUGUCACACUGGGCAGACUGGGAUACAUGGUGUAAAUAAGGGGAAAUGUCUGCAAAGUUUGCCAAGGGAUCUCUGGAUCUGCUUCUUUCUCAGGUCCUGGGGUUGAGUGGGUUGAGGUAUGAUCCCUGUUUCAUGUUUUGCAUGUAUUUGAGUGCUUGGAUACAGGGGAAAUACAGGCCAAAUGAAGGUCGAAACCAGGUGUUAUUGUGACAAAGCAAAUACUGUAUAUACAGGUUAAACCUCAGGUACUGCACUUGUGGCAGGAAUCAUUACAUUUACAUUUAAGUCAUUUAGCAGACGCUCUUAUCCAGAGCGACUUACAAAUUGGUGCAUUCACCUUAAGAUAUCCAGUGGAACAACCACUUUACAAUAGUGCAUCUAAAUCAUAGUGUGGUCCAACCAAAGUCUGUGUAAAGCAGGGGAAUCAAUCCAACAAGCAAAGCACCACACCCUUUUUAUAACAGACACAUGAAUUUGUAUGUAAAAACUGGAUUCUGAAGUGUCAAACUUCAAAUGUUGAAAUUAUAAAAAUGUUCUAACAACUCCGUAUACUAACUCUGCAGUUACAUGCAGAUCUUUUGGUCAAGAUUUCAUCCGUGAAAACACCAAAUAUUUAACACCAGGAAAUAUUUAUUGGGGCACGGCUUUUAUCCAAAACCCUUAUCCAGUCCAGUCAUACCAUCACUUUCAGGAGGAUGCGCAUAUGUCACAUUCUUCACAUUCCCUGGACUGACUGAUGAUAAACCAGAGGAUGAGAAGAGGGAGAGGGGUACGGGGAGAGACAGAGGAGAGGGGAGGUGAUAGAGACCUUGUGAGAGGGGGAGACAGAGCAAACCCUGUCUACCUCUGUACCCUCUCUCUCCAACUACAAUAUGCUGUCAUUAUUACACUGGUGCAGAGAUGGAUAGCAUAGCUUGCUGUAUGUUUAGUCAGUAAGAAAACAUUCUGGUAAGCAUGGUUAUCUUUUAAUAAAGGAAGGAUUACGCUA